AAUGACGCUCUCUUAUGUCCACCCCAAGUGAUUUUCCAACAUCUCUCCAGUGUCAACUCAACAGUUUCAUCCCCAUCACCCCUGUGUCACUCCAUCAGCAUUAAUCCAGCGUCACUCUCUGAUACCUGCCCUAAUGAUACCCCAACAUCACCCGCCAACAUCACUGACUCAUCAUAGAGUAUCGCCUCCCAGCAUCUCCCCAAUAACAUCCCCCCCCCCCCAACAACAUCGCUCCUUUAUCUCAUCCCUCAACAUCAGCCUACAGCAUGACUGCACUACAUCGACCCAGCAUCACUCCAGUGUCACACCAGUGCACCCCCACCAGUGUCAGCCCAACGUCACUCCCUGAUGCCAUCCUUGAGUGAAACCCCGACAUCAUUCUAGUCUCAUUCCAAUGUAACCUCCCAGCUUCACUCUAACAACAUUACCCCACAAAAACCCCCCAACAUCACCCUUACCAUUAAUUACCUACUGUAAUGCUGCAGCAUGAUGGAAAAAUGCAACAACAAUAGCAGAGAAGCAAAGUCCCAGGCUGUAGUAAGUGAGAAUGUGCUCAAACACAGCAACCGUAAACACAGAAACAGAACAAAAACCUGCUCACCUUUGGAAGACCUCAUGCAAGCACAGACCUCUAGCCAAAGCCCCUCACUUGUGAUGCCAAUGCUUAAAUGAGACCUGGGAGGGGGUGGAGCCAGGCUCCACCCCCUUCCAUCACUCAGGUGCGUUUCAUGCACCUGAGCUUCUAUGGUUUGUCCCUUCUCAAUCAUUGUUUCAAGCCACGAUUUAGGGUUUCCACUACACCCCCCCCAAUAGUAUCACUCCAACAUCACUCCCUGAUGUCCCCCCCAUGAUGCUACAACAUCACCCCCCAGCAUCACCCCCCCACAUCAUCCCAGGGUCAGCCCAGUGUUACCCCAGUGUCACCCCAACUAUGCCACUGCAAUGUCACUCCCUGAUGUCACCCUGCAGUAAUAAUCCAACACCAUCCCCCAGCGUCACUCCCCAGUAUCACCCGAGUGUCAUCCCUAUGUCAGCUGCCAUACAGGCAGGUGCCAGGUUCACACACUGAGGAUGUCAAAUCCUGAAUUGUUUUCACGAUGGGCUUUUAUUGCAAAGAAAGUAGGCGACACGUUUCUCACUGCAGAGCCACAAGCUGUCCCCACCAGUUUGGCAAACAGCGCUCACUCUGAUCACACCGGUGAUCUCAACUCUGCCAUCCAGGCUGCACACACAGCUUUUCAGCAUCUUCUGUAUCAGUACGGAAAUCUCUGUGCUGUAUCAGUACUGAAAUUUGUGCUCCCCUAUCUAUUAGAAAUUUUACGAAAUACCUUUGAGGACAGACUUGAAUCAAAAUAUGCAUGCCAUUGUUGCUCAUCCUUUGAUCAAACUCCCCUUGCCGGACAGGCAGAUCCAAUCACCUGCUUGUAAUUAGUUUUUUUUCUUGUUGUUGUUUACAGCCUGAAGCAGUGAUUGAGCACCUGGUGAGGGGUGUGGCCAGCCCUGCCAGCACAGGUGGAAGCAAUUUGCCUGUGGGACCGGAUAGGGCUGAGUUUGGCUCCACCCCCUCCCUGCCCAUAUUUAAGGGCUGGGAACAGCCAGGGCAGCAUUCUGCUUGGGAACUGCCUCCUUGGGAGCAUUGGGAGCAAGUUCUGCCCUUUGGAAUGGGGUCUGUCAGCAGAAGGAGCAGCGACUGCACCUGGAGACUGCUUCCUUUAGAAUGCGGGGUGAACCCUUGAAACUGGGGCUGUGAUCUUUCCUGUUUUUGGGGCAUCCUGACCACAUUUGAGUGCUGGCAGAUGUAAGGGCAGCGUUGAUCUCUGGAGGCUGUCUCCUGUGGAGCAUGGGGACUUCACCUGACUGCCUCGACUUCUCAAAUACCACUGAGAGUGGCUCGAUGACUGCAGCACUGAAUUCCCUCAGAGCUCUGGGACUCGUCUCAUCAGGACCCAAAGACUCCUGGAUGUUCGGGUCCUCAGGUGGUCCAGAACCUGAUCUCACAUCACAGUGUGGGAUAGGGAGGGGUCUGUGGGACCGGCAUUGCUUCCUCAAUCCCCACCUACCAAACCAAAGGUGAGGGCAGUGUAUAAUGAGCAGUUAUCAGAGAAGAUGGAAAAUGGAUGUUGUUGGGUACCUGAGCCUUCUCCUUGUCUGUUGUUCCCAGCUCAGUGCUGCUGGUAAGCAGCAUCGUGCGCAGAGCGCAGCCACGUUGAUCAGAGAAAGGAGUGCAGGUUUGUGAAAGAGGCACAUCUGCAGGGCAGUGCCUUCAUUACUGCGUUGUGUCCCACAGGUGGCAGCAGGCUGCGGCGCUCCCGAGUGCCGUAACGACCGCAUGGAGAUGCGUGGCUCUUAUGGGAGCAGCAAGGAACCGGAAUCUGCAUUUCCUGGAAUGCCCGGAACCCCGCUUUGCUGGCUGGUAAUUGUCUGCCCAGCAGGUGGCAGCAGAGUUGCGUUGCUCCUGAGCGCUGUAAGGACAGCACGGAGAUGCACGGCUCUUCAGGCAGCAGCAAGGAACCGGAAUCUGCAUUUCCUGGGAUGCCCGGAACCCCGCUUUGCUGGCCGGUAAUUGUCUGCCCAGCAGGUGAAGAUGCCUUCGACGCUUCCAGUCGAUGACUUCCCCCCUGCGACGCCAUUGGCUUUCCAGGCCUCCCACACUCACCGCCAGCUCGGUUCGGUCAACCGUUACCCGAAUCCCCGCUCCGUUCCCUUUCCAUGAUCUUCCCGUCACUCUGCCACAAGCCCCUACCAAGGUCAUCGCAGGCAGCGUGUGGGAUGCGGCGCUCGGUCUCAUUGCAGUUCAUCCCAUGGGCCUCAGCCCAGCGAUCCAACCCACCCGCACCCUUCCUGAGGACCCUUCUGCUCCCAGGCCAAUCAACGCUUCCUUCUGAUGCCAUCUGAGUUCCCUCCAGGCCAUUUUCAGACUCGUGCCCCUUUGUGGCCAUUUUGAGAGUUGUGCUGAUUUCAGCAUGUCCAUUCAAUUGACUUCAACCAAAUUGGCUUUAGCUUGACAUACAAUUAAUGUAAACCAAAUUGGCUUUAGUUUUACAUUCAAUUGGCUUCAACCAAAUUGGCUUUAGUUUUACAUUCAAUUGGCUUCAACCAAAUUGGCUUUAGUUUUACAUCCAAUUAAUGUAAGCCAAAUUGGCUUUAGCUUUGCCUUGGUUACGGGGUUGGGCUAGCCUUGCUUUGUUUGCUCCUAGGCAGGGCUAACCCAACCCCGUAACCAAGGGCCGUUGGAGGCGAUUUUGUUCCUUCCGGCCAGUCUGAGACUCGCGCCCCAUUGCGGCCAUUUUGAGAGUUGUGCUGAUUUCAGCAUCUGCGUUCAAUUUAUCUCAACCAAAUUGGCUUUAGCCUUGCAAUCAUUUUGCAUCAACCAAAUUGGCUUUGGCCUUGCAUUCAAUUGACUUCAACCAAAUUGGCUUUAGCUUUACAUUCAAUCAAUGUAAACCAAAUUGGCUUUAGUUUUACAUGCAAUUGACUUGAACCAAAUUGGCUUUAGCCUUGCAUUCAAUUGACUUCAACCAAAUUGGCUUUAGCUUUACAUUCAAUUGGCUUCAACCAAAUUGGCUUUAGCUUUACAUUCAAUUAAUGUAAGCCAAAUUGGCUUUAGCUUUGCCUUGGUUACGGGGUUGGGCUAGCCUUGCUUUGUUUGCUCCUAGGCAGGGCUAACCCAACCCCGUAACCAAGGGCCGUUGGAGGCGAUUUUGUUCCUUCCGGCCAGUCUGAGACUCGCGCCCCAUUGCGGCCAUUUUGAGAGUUGUGCUGAUUUCAGCAUCUGCGUUCAAUUUAUCUCAACCGAAUUGGCUUUAGCCUUGCAAUCAUUUUGCAUCAACCAAAUUGGCUUUGGCCUUGCAUUCAAUUGGCUUCAACCAAAUUGGCUUUAGCCUUGCAUUCAAUUGGCUUCAACCAAAUUGGCUUUAGUUUUACAUUCAAUUGGCUUCAACCAAAUUGGCUUUAGUUUUACAUCCAAUUAAUGUAAGCCAAAUUGGCUUUAGCUUUGCCUUGGUUACGGGGUUGGGCUAGCCUUGCUUUGUUUGUUCCUAGGCAGGGCUAACCCAACCCCGUAA